rnacentral:lncRNA from 1 species
GGGUUUAAAGAAAAUAUCACUUGAACAAUAAGUGAAGAUAGGGAUACUUGCCUCAGUUCUGCUGAUUUUCACACCGAUUAAUUUCUACCGGACUAUCUCACAGCACAGCUUCGUCUUAAGGAACUAUUCCUGAUUCAAUUCACAAAGCUAUUCAACUACUUCUGAAUGUCCUUGAUAUAAAGUCUCGGUUGAUUCUCCAAGAGUAACACGGUGCUUCAUUGUCGAUGCCGGCGGAUUUCGGUUGAUUCUCCAAGAGUGACACGGUACUUCAGUUGUCGAUGCCGACGGAGUUAACUAAUAUCGAAUAACGUAUCAAAUCCGUAAUUAGCUACCCUUCGUAAAUCCAUAUACAUAGUACAAUUAGAUAAACACAUAGCACAUAGUUGAACAAUUAACUUUUAUAGCUAUUAAAAGUCAAUAUUGAUAAAUUAACAAAUAACAUGUUUCAAUCAACCAUGUUACCUUAUUCUUAACUAUUUAAUAUCCUUCAACAAGUAAAACAUAUAUAUAUCCUAUCGAAAAUUCGGCAGCAUCUCCUCUAUUUACCGGACUAUCCACCUGUUUUAAUUUAAUACCAACAACCAAUUAAACAAGUUCCUAACCCAAUAACUCAACAUCUGCUAACUAAUAAUAAACUGAACUCAAUUACAACUUAAUAAUUCGUAUAUCACUUUAUACUAUAAGGAAUGAAGUUUCCAAUCAUAUAUACAGAUAUACUUCAAGAUACUCAAAGUAUAUUUAUAUAUAUAACUAGGAACUUAAAUUCCUUAAUCCUCGUAUAAUCAAUACUCAAAGUAACUUUCCAGAAAACUUAUCCAUAAAAUAUUCGGGAUUCUUAAUUUACUAUAUUUCAAGCAUUACAUAAAGACACCAAAUAAUUUAUUAAAACAAUCAGAAUACUAAAUCUUUUGAAUUUAUACACAUAUAAAUCAAGUAAUUUAACAACUGUUGACCAACAACCACUCGUAUACAUUUAUACUAUAAUUAAUCACAACUCAACUCAUAGAUUUGAACUUGUGAAAGUAAUUCUCUUUGUGACCUCAAAACAGAAUUUUCACAAAUCUGUGCUACUGAUAAUCAAACAUUUUUAAUAAAUCGGAAAUACAUGAUUUUUACUUGAAAUUUUUAUGAGACCUCCCUAAACAUUAAUCCAAUCUACUAUAAAAAUUUCAGAACCAAAUUCCAUGUUUAAGGGACUAAAACAGAGCCUGCAAGUUAAGAACCUGAAUCUGUCCUGCAGAACCAGCCCCACGCUAAGAAUUUUAAUAAAUAGAAAAAUUGGUCUGUUUGUAUAAAAUUUUAAUAACAUAUUCCAGAUACUAACAUCCAACUCCAAUAAAAAUUUCAGAGGCAAAGCUCGAUUCUAAGGUAGCAAAACAGGGCGUGGAAUAGGACACACCUGCCCAGAAUUUUCUGCUCAAUUCACACUAAAACAUACAUAUCUUUUAGCUCAUUUAUUAAAUUAAUCUAAUUCUUUCGCGAGUAGAAAAUAGACUUCAAGGAGCACAUAACCAUACAAAGAUUAAGCAUAUAACUCGACCCUAUGAGCCCAGAAUUUGUAUCGCAAUAACAGACCUGCAGUAGUCUAGAAAUUCAACUUUGAUCACAUAUAGUUUUAAAACUUUAAUCCACUAUUUAAACUCUUAAAUUAUCCUUCCAAAAACAUGUAAACAAUCAUCAUACUUGUACAUAUGUUCUUACAUCAACAAGUUUGAUACCCGGUCAUAUACUCUUGUUAAUUCAAGUACCCCACAAUGUCCAAAGUUAAGACUCCAAUUAAACUCCCUAAUUCAUAUAAGCAUAUAUACACAAACAUAUAAACAAUUAUACACUCCGAGUCAUGCCAACACUACCCAAUUUACAUAACCCAGCACAACAUAAGGGAGUUAUGCUUAUAUACAUACACAUACAUACGUAAUUGAAAGAGGUAGUGGUCUGAUUUGUACCUAAAUUCGAACGAAUAUGGAACACGAUGAACUUCUAAUUAGGAAGUGAAAGCGAUUAUGAGAGAGCCCCAGGGGAAGGAGCACGGCUUCGAGUAGAAGGAGAAACGGAGGAGAGCGGCGCUGCUGCUGAGAGAAGAGAGACGUAGGAUAAGUGAUUAUAUGGAUGAAGAGAUUGAGAGGGUGUGUAAGGAUGUAGCGGUGGAGAGGGAAGAAGUGAGGGGGGAAGAGGCGGUGAGGUCGAGAGAUUAACAGAGGGAAGGUUUUGAAAUUGGGGAAAAGGAGGUGACUGCAGGAGGUGUAUUACGUGGCUGAAAAAAAACAAAAGAGUAUUGAUCAGUGGCAAUAACCGAAGCUGCCACCUAAUAUAAGCUAACUAAUGUUUUUACCCUCUAUCCGUAUUUAACUGAUUUACGGAGAUAACUUAUUAGUAAAACUUCUCCCAAAAAUUACCGAAAUAUUUUUAUAAAUCCCAAAUAUUAUAAAACUAAUAAAAUAAAAUACUCAUAAUUUACAGAGCAUUUUCAAAAUUUUUACAAAAUUUAGAAGUUAGCUGCGUUCAGAAACUAAUUAAAAAUCAUGUCCUUAUAGAAAUAAGAUUUUUAAAAUUUUACAAACUCCUAAAAAUAUUUGUGAUCACUAUCGAGCAAUUAAAAUAAUUUUUGAAAUUAUCUUUGUAUUUUUACAAAAAUAAAUAUCCAUUUAAGAGGAUAAUAAAUUUUAAUAAACUGUAUAAUAAUAUCAAAAGCAGGAAUAAAUGCACGCACAAACAUAAUCGUAUACAAAUAGAUCAAUUAAAUCGUAACAGAUAAUUGCACGAUCAACAGAUAUUUUCCCAUAACCCCGAUGACCAGGAAAAUAUUUAAACAAAUAUAUUUAAAUAUUUUUUUUAAUUUACCAAACUGGAAUAAAAUAUUAAAUUUUAUUCCUCCUUUUUAUAAAAACCAUUAAUAAAAUAUUUUGAAAAAUCCGGGUUGUCACAAUCUACCCCCCUUAAAAGGAUUCCGUCCUCGGAAUCAACAAAAAGAAACUAAAACAUAUGAUCUCUUCAAUCUGUAAUAAUCCUUAUUUCUAAUAUAAAAUUCUCUCGAUUAUUUCCGUAUACCCGCGUCAUCAUCCUUUUUACUUAUGUUGCUUCGUACUACAAAGGCUUAAUUUUACUUGGCAACUCAGUUGGCAUACCUUUUGGAAAUUACAAGAAUAUGAAAGAUUAGAUCUAUUGGAACAAAUAUUACGUGAUUGGAAACAAAAGAAUAACUGAGAGAUCAAUAUGAUCUAAAGAACUCAGUGUUGCGUGUCUAAAUUAAGACACUACUAAAGGUAAUUAACCUUCUUGUAAUGUACAACACACACAAGUGAUGGCGUCCCAUCCAACUCCUAUCACACAGACCGGUAGUCCUUGUGUCCCCUAUAGGUAGGGUUGUUCAUCUCAGUUAGAGUUGAAUAAUAUGAUAGAAAUUCAAAAUCAACCAAAAAUGAUCGACUUUUUGAUGAAGGAAUCUUUGAUGCGCACCUUGGGUUAAAAAAAUUGAAUAAGUUCCAAAGGUGCUAGUUUUGAUGAAAAGAUUAGUUAGAAAUGAUGAAAUAGACACAAGCAUCAUUUUAUAACUCAGGAGAGAGAAAUAUAGUAUUUAUUAAAUGUCUCUAGGAAAAAAAAAUUUCAAAACAAUUCAUUGAUGAAGAAAGUAAUCAAUAUAAGCAAUAAAAGAGGAAGGUGUUGCCAAGAUUCUUCAAGAUAUGCUGCUCUGAUGGAUCAUUAUUCGAUUCUAAUCUUCUUCUAUUUUUCAGCGGUCGAUGAUGCUCAAUAACGUAAAUUAUCGUUGACUCACAAUGGACUGUAAAGAUCUCAUUAUAAAUAUCCAUGAUCGUCAGAAGUCCUGCUCAGCUUCGCAUAGUCCGCAAUAUUAUCGAGUUUCGUAUAAUCAUCACCACUGAGUAUUGACGUCUUAACUUACUCACAAGUACUAUAUCCACUAAUCUACACAAGCUCUAAAUAGCUUUAACGUUCAUUAUUUAACUAUAUACGGAACUUCUUACUUGAUCCUACAAGUUUCAUAUUCUUGUAUUAGCUCUAAUGCUCACUACUUCACUAUAUACAAAGCUUUAAAUUCGGACUUGUUAACACCUAUAUUCUUUCACCAAUUCUAUAUAUCUUUAACAAGAAUCAAAGAUAACUCCCCAAAUACUAUUCAAAAAUUGGCAGACACUACAAAAAUUACUCUAGACUAUGUGAGAACCUAUACUGGUCCAACCUCAAUUAAGUCCCAUUAUAAAGCUAACCUAAUAGGUCUAUCCUUCACCCUUCAAAUGAUUUAGACUCUAAAUCAACUAACAAGCUAAAUACUGAAGGAAAUCUUAUCCACCAACUAUGGGUUUCAAUCAAACUGGUGUUAAGAAAUUUUGAUCUAUAAUAUAAACACAUAAAGUUACUCUUCCAAUUUAUCUCUAUCUUAGUGACGAGGACUAUGAAAUAAUUAGUGAAGUUCUAGACUCAACAAGUGAAUCUAUUUGGUUGCUAGUAUUGGUACUAAAUACUCAAUAUGNUCUACCAAACUAUCUCACAGCACAGCUUCGUUUUAAGGAACUAUUCCUCAUUCAAUUCGCAAAGCUAUUUAAAAACUUCUGAAUGUCCUUGAUAUGUCCUUGAUAGACAAGUCUCGGUUGAUUCUCCAAGAGUGACACGGUACUUCAGUUGUCGAUGCCGACGGAGUUAACUAAUAUCGAAUAACGUAUCAAAUCCGUAAUUAGCUACCCUUCGUAAAUCCAUAUACAUAGUACAAUUAGAUAAACACAUAGCACAUAGUUGAACAAUUAACUUUUAUAGCUAUUAAAAGUCAAUAUUGAUAAAUUAACAAAUAACAUGUUUCAAUCAACCAUGUUACCUUAUUCUUAACUAUUUAAUAUCCUUCAACAAGUAAAACAUAUAUAUAUCCUAUCGAAAAUUCGGCAGCAUCUCCUCUAUUUACCGGACUAUCCACCUGUUUUAAUUUAAUACCAACAACCAAUUAAACAAGUUCCUAACCCAAUAACUCAACAUCUGCUAACUAAUAAUAAACUGAACUCAAUUACAACUUAAUAAUUCGUAUAUCACUUUAUACUAUAAGGAAUGAAGUUUCCAAUCAUAUAUACAGAUAUACUUCAAGAUACUCAAAGUAUAUUUAUAUAUAUAACUAGGAACUUAAAUUCCUUAAUCCUCGUAUAAUCAAUACUCAAAGUAACUUUCCAGAAAACUUAUCCAUAAAAUAUUCGGGAUUCUUAAUUUACUAUAUUUCAAGCAUUACAUAAAGACACCAAAUAAUUUAUUAAAACAAUCAGAAUACUAAAUCUUUUGAAUUUAUACACAUAUAAAUCAAGUAAUUUAACAACUGUUGACCAACAACCACUCGUAUACAUUUAUACUAUAAUUAAUCACAACUCAACUCAUAGAUUUGAACUUGUGAAAGUAAUUCUCUUUGUGACCUCAAAACAGAAUUUUCACAAAUCUGUGCUACUGAUAAUCAAACAUUUUUAAUAAAUCGGAAAUACAUGAUUUUUACUUGAAAUUUUUAUGAGACCUCCCUAAACAUUAAUCCAAUCUACUAUAAAAAUUUCAGAACCAAAUUCCAUGUUUAAGGGACUAAAACAGAGCCUGCAAGUUAAGAACCUGAAUCUGUCCUGCAGAACCAGCCCCACGCUAAGAAUUUUAAUAAAUAGAAAAAUUGGUCUGUUUGUAUAAAAUUUUAAUAACAUAUUCCAGAUACUAACAUCCAACUCCAAUAAAAAUUUCAGAGGCAAAGCUCGAUUCUAAGGUAGCAAAACAGGGCGUGGAAUAGGACACACCUGCCCAGAAUUUUCUGCUCAAUUCACACUAAAACAUACAUAUCUUUUAGCUCAUUUAUUAAAUUAAUCUAAUUCUUUCGCGAGUAGAAAAUAGACUUCAAGGAGCACAUAACCAUACAAAGAUUAAGCAUAUAACUCGACCCUAUGAGCCCAGAAUUUGUAUCGCAAUAACAGACCUGCAGUAGUCUAGAAAUUCAACUUUGAUCACAUAUAGUUUUAAAACUUUAAUCCACUAUUUAAACUCUUAAAUUAUCCUUCCAAAAACAUGUAAACAAUCAUCAUACUUGUACAUAUGUUCUUACAUCAACAAGUUUGAUACCCGGUCAUAUACUCUUGUUAAUUCAAGUACCCCACAAUGUCCAAAGUUAAGACUCCAAUUAAACUCCCUAAUUCAUAUAAGCAUAUAUACACAAACAUAUAAACAAUUAUACACUCCGAGUCAUGCCAACACUACCCAAUUUACAUAACCCAGCACAACAUAAGGGAGUUAUGCUUAUAUACAUACACAUACAUACGUAAUUGAAAGAGGUAGUGGUCUGAUUUGUACCUAAAUUCGAACGAAUAUGGAACACGAUGAACUUCUAAUUAGGAAGUGAAAGCGAUUAUGAGAGAGCCCCAGGGGAAGGAGCACGGCUUCGAGUAGAAGGAGAAACGGAGGAGAGCGGCGCUGCUGCUGAGAGAAGAGAGACGUAGGAUAAGUGAUUAUAUGGAUGAAGAGAUUGAGAGGGUGUGUAAGGAUGUAGCGGUGGAGAGGGAAGAAGUGAGGGGGGAAGAGGCGGUGAGGUCGAGAGAUUAACAGAGGGAAGGUUUUGAAAUUGGGGAAAAGGAGGUGACUGCAGGAGGUGUAUUACGUGGCUGAAAAAAAACAAAAGAGUAUUGAUCAGUGGCAAUAACCGAAGCUGCCACCUAAUAUAAGCUAACUAAUGUUUUUACCCUCUAUCCGUAUUUAAC